rnacentral:rRNA from 1 species
UUAAUGGAGAGUUUGAUCCUGGCUCAGGACGAACGCUGGCGGCGUGCCUAAUACAUGCAAGUCGAGCGGGGUUACUUAGAAGCUUGCUUCUAAGUAACCUAGCGGCGGACGGGUGAGUAACACGUAGGCAACCUGCCCACAAGAC